GCCCAGAGUUGGCCCUCCCAAGUUUUUUAGCACCAACUGCUGAGGCAUCUGGGAUCCGCAGAACGUUUCGAAACAAAGCGGGGCUCUGAAUGUAAACACACGCAUGGAGCCACCAACGGGCCUCGCCAGACACCCUCCGGAGGACGCGGUUUCUGCUGGAGCAGCCCCUAGACUUGUCAACUAAUUGGAGGUGAGAACCACGCCCAGGCCCCUCCCAGGCAGGCAGACCCACAGGAAUCACACUCUUUGUCAUGUGUGGACACGUAUGUCACACCUGAGAAAAACAAAAGCCCCAAUGACACUCAAUGCCCGGGAGGGCGGGGAGUGGCCGGAGCUCUCACACUGCUGGAGGGAGAAGAAUCCCCACGCCCAGUUUGGAAAACUGUCUGGCGGCAUCCGCUGAGGCCAACUGUGUGCGCUCACUAUGGCCAGAGAUGGACUGGCCUUGUAUCAUGGGACGCGUGAAUGUGUCAUCACAAGACACACUGGAAGGUUCACAGUAGGAAGCGACCCAGAUGCUCAUCAGCGCCAGUAUCAUCAAUCAUCAACGGUGCCCACAACAGAGGAGAAGCCAGCUCCAAAUGUUAACAGUGCCGAGGAUGAGAAACUGUGUGUCACCUGCCCCCUGCCUGCCACUCCAGUCAUACUUGGAUCCUUCCUGGCCCUCUCUGCUCUGGCUGCGCUGUCCUCUUUUGUUCCUGAAGCUCGCUGCACCUCUCCCUCCCACCCUCCUCUCCCUACAGGGACCACUCUUCCCUGACCCCCGGCCCCUCCAUCCCCAAAAAGCCCAGCUCCCGUGGGUUUUAUUCCCAGCACCUCCUCUAGCUGUGUGACCUUGGACAAAUACUUAACCUCUCUGUGCCUCAGUUCCCUCCUCUGUAAAACAGGGAUAACAACAGUAGCUGCCUCAUAGACUUGGCAAUAUUCAAUCUGUAAAGUGCCAGCCACAGUGUUUACACAUAUUAUGCUCGUAACUAUUGUUCAUUAUUAUCAUUAUCACUGUUUUAUGCCCACAUAGCACUGACUGCCUCGGUCUGUAGCACUUAGUAUGUUUGCAUUUCUCUACUUAUGUGUGUGGCUAACUGGCUGCCUCCAUGGGAGCAGGGCAUUGUGUUUUUGCUCACCCAAGGCAUACCAAGCACUUAGCGCAUAGUAUGUGCUCAAUAAAUAUUUAAGGGAUGACUGAA